CCGGCCCUACAGCAACAGUGAAGAGGCGCAGGGGGGAGCGCGCAGCUGCGAGACUUGGCGCAGGGGGGCUGUUUUCUUGCUGGAGGUGGGGCCACGGAAGCUUCCUGAAAACUUCGGCGUGUCCAAGCUAAGCUGCGCUCUGGGGGCAUCCUAGCGGCAGUGUGCCACACGAAGCCGGCGGGGAAAUGACGAACCUCGACGGUCUAGGCCAGAGGAGGGGUGCGGCAGGAUGGGAAGCGGGGACUGACGGAGAGGUCACACUCGUGCUGCUUGGUGAAGGGAGAUUAAGGUGAGGGCUCAGACAACCUGGCACGUUGUCACUGGGGGCCAGGGAGCCAGCCUGAGCAGCUGGUGGCAAAUGGGCCUUGAAGAUGGCAGGCUCCAUCUUGUUCGAGGUGCCUUUAUUAGCAAGUGACAAAAAUCUAACUCAUGCCAGCUUCGCCGAAAAGGAGACUGUGUUAGCCUGCAUCAGGGGAAAGUCCAGAAAGUGGCUUUACAUGUAGCUAGAUCCAAACACCCCAGGCUAGUGUUCAAGUCUAGUGUGUCCAUCUCCCGGUUCUGCUCGCUGCGUGCUGCUGCAACCGCAGGUGGGGCCCGCCGCGGCGGCAAUGUGGCCCCAGCAGCUCGGCUUAUGUUCCAGCAGCUUGGCACGUCCAGCCGUGCGUCCUAUCGAAGGCCGCGUCCCCUUCCUGGCUGGUCUGAGGCCCUGCCCGUCUCUGGGCCUCAUGCCUUUCUCUGAGCAGCAGGCAAGGCACAUACCCCGGAACCUCCUGGACAGGGCAGAGGGCAGUUCCCCAGAGGAGAGCCCGGGGGCUGCCAGCAGGAGGGCGGAGGGUUGGGGGGGCUGCAGACUUCCAGGUGCAGAUGUCGGGGGCUGAGGGGCCAGGUGAGGGCUGCAGCCAGGUUUCAGUCAUGGUGGGAGGUGAAGCCCUAGGAGUGGAUGAGGUCACAGAUGGGGGGGCCCUAGAGACCUAGGAAGGAGAUAUGACACCUGGGGAGGAAAGAGAGGAUAAAGGGGGCAAGACGCUCACAGAGGUGGGCGGGAACAGUCCCGCCUAAGGGAGGGAGGCAGUGGUCAACCUGCCCGGACCCAGAGGGUGAGGGCGAGGCCGCUGUGGGGGCAGAUUAUCUGCACAGGGCAAGGUGUGGCCGGGGCUGGUUUGGGAGCCCGGGCAGCGAAGGCACAGAGCAGCCCCUGCGGAGACCGAGGGACGCAGACUGAAUGACAGCGAUGCGGGGGGCCCAAGAAAACGCUGCUCAGUUGAAGACGAGCGUCAGGUGCGGGCCCUCAUCCGUCUCUAGUGUCGGGGCAGUGGGCGGCUGCCCAGCUCUCCUCUGGCCUUCACUCACUUGGCUCUGAUCACACACUGGAGUAUAUUUGCCUUUUUUUUUCUUACCUAAAGACGUCUUUUUUGUAAUAACAGCCUUUUUUUUUUUUUUUUUUUAAGCUGAGCUAGAUUGUCUGAUUCCAAAGGACAGAUGGGAGCAACAUUCUUUUUUGUGUCUCCUCCAAAACAGCCCAGCACCUUGUACAUUUUAGCUAUUCCAUCUACGUCCUUUUGUAGAUGGGCACAGAGCCCCGAGUCUCAGUCCCAAGCAGGCUCAGCGUGUUCUGAGCAGUUGACAGGGGCUCCAAGGUUUGGCUUCACCCCUCAAAGCAGGCCAGUGCAGGGACUGGUGUUUUGCCCAAGUCAAGCUGAUCUGCAAGUUUCCAAUGAAUGACUUCCCACGAGCCUUGCUGAGCGCACGUUUUGUAGCUCUGACCUUCCCAAGUGCUUUUCCUCCAAGGCGGUGAUUCUCCAGGGGCUGCUCCUGGGAGCACUCGGAUCCCUCCUGGGGUGAUGGUGAUGGGCCUCCCCCUGGGCCAAUUUAAUCCCUGGCUCUAGGUGGGGCCAUGCACUGCGAAUUUUAAACACUCCCCAGAGCUUUCUAAAGUGCCCAGAGGGUUGGGACUGAGCUAAGGGUAUCCUGGAGCGUGACAGCAUAGAUAGCUUAUGAGAUUUGCAGCCAAGCAGCCCAGGUCCAAAUCCCAACUCUGCCAUUUGCAUGCAGUUCAGCCACUUUGGGCCUCAAUUAUCUUAAUCUCCAAAAUGGGUAUAAAAUAUGCGUUGCCCAGAAUGUACAGUGCACACAGAGCUUCAGUUGGUAGGAACCUUCUAAAAUGGCAGUUCCUGAGCCUCCCUGGACACUUAAGAAUUCACUGAGAUAGACCCUCAGUCUUCUAUUUCCAGGGACACGUGGGGACAAUGCAGCCCUUUCAAAAGAGGUGACUCCGACAAUGUCAACCAUGAUCAUUUUACAGAACUGGGGAAACAAAAGUCUUACUUUAUUUCUGAUUAUAGAGGAAAAGAUUCAGAGUCCCCCUAACCGGCCCUACCUAAAUGCAAAAUUAUCACCUGCAAGGCAUGACUGUUCCUUUUCUAAAAGGCAGUGGGAGACCUGAGUCAGUGGCAGCCCGGGUGCCGCCCACUUGCCGUGAGCUUGGUGUUGCCGCCCUCUGGUGGCGGUUUCGGGUACUGCUCCCCCCAAGAAUGGGCCGUGGACUCGGACAGAACUUUCCUUCCCCAGCGCUGCGUAGUGAGAGCCCUUGUUCCCUCCCUGUCGGCGGAGCCAAGUCACCCAGGAACGCUUGCCCACAAGUUCCUUUUGUGUCCCAGAAUUGUUGAACAAUAUUCUCUGCAUUAUGCCACAUGCUGGGGACUGUUGGAAAAUUCUGGGCCCAGAGUUCAAUUUUUUAUUGAUACUAGAGGGAGGCUCACCGGGAACCUGCUUAGAAUUCUAAAAAUGGAAGGGACUUUGCGUAUUUUUAAGAGCUUGGAGGCUGCAAAUAUCACAUGUUUAUCUGAAGAUAAAUUAACUGGAUCCUGAGGUAAUGAAGGGCCAUUUAAACUUGAGAGAUGGCAUCUCUUAAUUCAUUAUUCAAAGCCCUCAACCACAUAUAUAAUAUAUAUUCGGAUUCAUGGCUGCUACGGGCUGAAUUGUGUACCCCUCAACAUUCACAUGUUGAAGCCCUAACCCUAACUACCUCAGAAUGUGACUGCAUCUGGAGAUGAGGCCUUUAAAGAGGUGACUAAAUUUACAGGAGGUCAUUAGGGUGGGUCCUAGUUCAAUAGGACAGGUUGGCCCAUGACAGCAUUCUCAGUGACCUGCUGGAACGACUGACCAAAGGAGACCUACCCUCCCUGUGCCCACCUGCCCCUGCCUACGGAAAGGAAAGUUCUGACCUUCUGGAAGUACUGGAAAGAAUUCUUCCUUCUCCUCCUUACCCCUAACUACUCAGCAUGGAUGACUGCUUCUGCUGUCCGUUAAGGGCGAGGGUCUCCAGGUGGAGACUGCUGCUCCCCCCGUGGUGCUCUCUCUCUCACACAGCUGCUUUAAGCAGGCUGGCCACAGGAUGCACCUGUCUCCCCCCGCCAGGGGUGAGCCCAAGGAGCCCGGUGCUGCCCCGCCAGGGAGGCUGGCCUGCGUGGGUGGGUGGAUACAGGAGUGAAAGACAUUUAAAAGUGAACAAAUAAAGACCAGCCAAUGCUUUUACAUGAUAAUUCUACAAGGUUUCGUGAGGCUGAAAGCAAGGUACCCAGGCCAGCCUGGAGAGGCAGAGGACCGUGUCUGUGCUGGUCAGUCUUCGUGGAGCCUCCUCGUCAGCCCCUUUCAUUCCGCCUGAGGCUGCCACUCACUGAGAAGUUCAAGCAGGUGAUGAGCUGUGAUCCAAUGAGUAGAAGCAACUGGGUGCUCCACUCCACGUGAAGGGGACGUCAGAGGGGCGGUGAGCGUCCCCCUUCAGCACCAGGCACGGAGGCUUGGUCUCGGGCUGGUGCGGUUUCUCUGAUCUUGGAUUUCAGUGUUGCCAGUGAUCAGUGAGAUCUGUGUGGCUCAUGUGACUGAACUCGGCGAUUCGUUUUCUAAGAGGAACAAUGGGGAGGUGGAACGGCAUCAAGGAGAAAUGGAUCCCAGUUACUGAGCAUCAAGACAAUUCCAUUUAUUGUCUGCACAGGUUUGAGGUCAGAAAUGCAAAGCGCCUACUUGAUUGUAACAGUUCUUUCUAGAACCCUCUUUUCCCCACUGCCUCAAUAAAAUUUUAUCCCAGAUAAAAUUCCCUGAGAUGCGGGUUUCCAGGGGCCAGGAAGGACACAGGUUGGGGGUAUUCCAUGAGCUCUUCUUUCGGUAUUUCUCUUUCCUGCUAAUCUUGUAGACCCGACUUCUCUAAUUUUAUUUUAUCCAUCUCAGUGAGUAAAGAAUUCAACCUCUUCCCUCUCUGCCAUCGGCAGAGAGAAGUUUCUCUCUGUGAAAUGAUUAACCUCACCGCCCUCCACCGUCUUCAGUGUGUGGGGUGCCUCUCCGGGGUGAGGCUUACAAGGUAAGUUCCUUUUCUGCUCUGUGAUGUCUGAAAAACUGAGGCAGGGGGAGAGACAGAGGCUGAGAGACAGAGAGAAACAGAGAAGGA